CGGACGGGUGAGUAACGCGUGGGUAACCUGCCUUGUACUGGGGGACAACAGUUAGAAAUGACUGCUAAUACCGCAUAAGCGCACAGUAUCGCAUGAUACAGUGUGAAAAACUCCGGUGGUACAAGAUGGACCCGCGUCUGAUUAGCUAGUUGGUGGGGUAACGGCCCACCAAAGCGACGAUCAGUAGCCGACCUGAGAGGGUGACCGGCCACAUUGGGACUGAGACACGGCCCAA
rnacentral:rRNA from 1 species